GAUGAAGAACGCAGCGAAAUGCGAUAAGUAAUGUGAAUUGCAGAAUUCAGUGAAUCAUCGAAUCUUUGAACGCACAUUGCGCCCCCUGGUAUUCCGGGGGGCAUGCCUGUUCGAGCGUCAUUUCACCACUCAAGCCUCGCUUGGUAUUGGGCAACGCGGUCCGCCGCGUGCCUCAAAUCGUCCGGCUGGGUCUUCUGUCCCCUAAGCGUUGUGGAAACUAUUCGCUAAAGGGUGUUCGGGAGGCUACGCCGUAAAACAACCCCAUUUCUAAGGUUGCCCUCGGAUCAGGUAGGGAUACCCGCUGAACUUAAGCAUAUCAAUAAGCGGAGGA
rnacentral:misc_RNA from 1 species